UGAAAGACCAUUGUCUUGGGGCAUGUGAAGAGGCCCACAGAAAUCAAAGGACUUUAAAGGGGUUGAGAAGCAGGUGUGGUGAAUAGUCGGACAUGGCGGGAGAUGUCAUGGCCGGAAGGGGCAAAGUUCAGAUGGUGCCCAUGGCAUUUUAUUGCAGAAAGGAAAGCAUCCUUUUGAAUCCUAUAAUAACACUCUGUGUUUGUGGUCUAUUUUCAUCUCAGAACACUUUCAGGUAGUCAUUAAGCUUCACAACGACCUGAUACACUGGGUAUAAUUAUACCCAUUUCUUCUGAGGGUCAUCUGAGGCCCUUUAAGACAAGCCGACUUGCUUGGAGACUUUGAUCUCAACUUUUCUGUUUUCCACCCCGAUUUGCCUGGUUCAUUUUAAUGUCGCUAAAUCAGUGAGGAACAUGAAAAUUUCAACAAAUCUACUCCAAAACCAGUUACUUAAAUUCUUGGGCAAACCCUCCGUGGGUCUCCAUGACCACCUUCCUCUCAUGUUCAUUAACAAAACCAGUUAGCCAAGGUAUUUUUUUACAUGCUUUUAGGAAAAGUCGUUGUAUGGAAAUAUUGGAAUGCGUGAGAUUGAUCCCACGGAGCAAAUGCGCCCCUUUCCCAUGGUCUGAAAUGGACUCCAUCCCAGGCAAAUUGGAGUUGCAGGGAGGCCUGCGGGGCUGCAGUCCAUGGGGUGAGCAACCACAGCAGCAACAGCUGGACCAGGAGCUGCCUGAACAGCCAAAAUCGGAGGCCGGGGGUCCUCCUGGCGGCCAAGCUUCUGGGGGACAGUGAGCUUGAGGGGACAGAGUGGCUGCAUUGGUGGGUUGACCGUGGGGGUCUGCAGUGGUGAGGGGUGGGUGUGGGCAGAGCUACUGAAAAGGGGGAAAAACGGGAUGAAGCUACACUGUUGCCAGUGGUCUCUCUGGCCUGCCCCCCACCCCCAGCCUGGCACAUGGCAGGGACCCUGCAAGAGUUGCAGUUCAGUUGCUAAGCUGUGCCUGACUCUGCGAUGCCAUGGACUGCAGCACGCCAGGCUUCCCUGUCCUUCACUAUCUCCUGGAGUUUGCUCAGACUCAUGUCGAUUGAGUCUAUGAUGCCAUCUGCAAGAGUGGCUAUGAGAACACCCAUGUGGGCCGGCCCUGGGCCAACUUCUGCAUUCAGAGAGCUACUUCCAUUGCCUCUCCUUGGGCUUUCAUUAAAAAGAGGUGAUUCUCAUUCUUUGCUUUUGGAUUCUGAAGGUCUUCUGAGUGGCUUUUGAGCUAUGGAAAUUACGUUAAAUAUCAUAGAGUUGAUGGCUUUUUAUAAACUUUUCAUGAUCUUGAUUUCUUUUUAACCUUUAGAAUAAACAACAUAACUCUGAAUCCUAUAAAGGAAAACAAAAAAAAGAGGUGAUUUCAACCUGAUGAAUAAAUCCAAGGGGAUUGGGUAUAUAAGUGGACUGUGCAUCUUUGCAGAGGAGCCUGCUGCCCAGAGGCCAAGGAAGUGAGAAGAUGGACAGUGUCAGCCAUGGGGGAGGGGGUAAGGUCCUUCUUCCUUGUGGGGCGUGGAGCCCAGGGGUAUGCAGAGUGAGGAUGAUGAUGACUAACGGCAGGCUUUCUUCCUUCCCCAGUUUGUCGGAGGUGGUCCUGUCCUCCCCGACAUGGCCAGCCCCAUCCACUGUGGGUUUGAGGGAAGCCCUCCUGAUUUCAUCACCAUCAUCACUGCCUGCUGGAGGAUGGUCACGUGCUUGAGCACGCAGGAAUGGUGCUGCGUCUGAAUCUGGCACCAGGAGCAGGCGGGGAGAGGUGCACGUGGUGAGAUCUGCUUUGGGAACCACCCUCUCCAAAGCCGACAUCCUUUAAUGCUUCCUGUGAGAUUCACGAGCAGGGUUCUGAGCCUUCUCACCAGCGCUUCUUCCUGCCGUGGACCCUCAAUACCUGUCUGGUUAAUAAAGGACACGAACCACGGACGCGUCCUCUCGCUGAAUCCAUCUGAGACUCCGGGGAUGGAGAGCAGGUGGGGGGCUGCUGGCCCAGCUCUGACAGGGCUCCUGUUUUGAUCUGUUUUGAUGACAGACAGGGACCCUGGAAAAGCCCUCUCACGCACCCCCGUAGGUCAGCUUAGGAAUAUAUUCACUUUCUGCUCCCAUCAGACUGUUCUUUCUGGCAACGGAGCUGCAGGCUGAAACAGAGGGUAUGAUAUUUUACUUUCCUGAAGGUCCAGUGGUUAAGAUUCUGUGCUUGCAUUGCAGCAGGGACGUGGGUUCGCUCUCUGGUCGGGGGACUAAGAUCCCACAGAGCUUGCAACAUGGCCCCAAAAAUAAAAG
ensembl:lincRNA